UCCUUGGUCUAUUUAUUCCUGCUACUCAUUUAUUCUUUGCCAAUUUUCCCCAGCAUCAAAGAUAAAGUCACCAUCAACAUCAUCCACACUGGACAUAGUGUGUGGGGGAAAAAGUGAAGAGUUUGAACUUUGAGAAGAGGCUAACCACAAAGAGCCUCCAGAAAACAACCUGCCUCAAAGAGGAAUGCAAGGAGUCCACAGAUUGCAGGACACAUGGAGGCAGGUUUGGAAUCGUCCAGUUGAUACCUUUGCACCCUGUAUCCACUAGGGAGGGAAACAGAGAUCCGAUCACAAAUACACAGAAAAGGAGAAGGUGAUAUGACCACAGGUCAAAACUGGAGUUCCACUGCCACAAGUCCACAAAUGCCAGCAACCACCAGAAGCUUGAAGAGAGAGGCAAGGAAUGAAUUCUCUCCUGUGCUCCUCCAAGGGGAGCACAACCCUUUCAGCCCUUCGAUUUUUAGCUUAGUGAUACUGAUUUCAUGCUUCUGGCCUCCAGAACUGUGAGAGAAUAAACUUCUCUUGUUUUAA